CGUUUCCGUUAAGUUUCUGUUUUCAGCAAAUGUUGCAAGAAUGCCUAUCGUAUUCAAUCAUCGGCGCGGUCACGGUGUUCCCAGCCCGACGGAAUGAUUCGGAAUCGGUGCACGUCCAGCGACACGACACCGUCCGAUUUUAUCGAGCAAGGGGGCAAGAUGUCACGCGAGCCGUUUCGAUUCGGGGCGAGGAAAAUAUAAAACCGGCCGUGGAUCGGCGGAUGGAUAUAGGUGCUCGGUGUUUCCACGGGUGCGGAUAUCAUCGUGGGAUCCGUCGCUUUCAUAUGCAAAUGAGGACGUUAAUAAAGGCAUUCGUCCACUUGACGACGGGUUAGGAAGAAAGGAAACGGAGUGCAGAAAUGAAUCUGGCCCGGGAUGGAGAUUUCUUUCAACAAGUCAAAUCUCAGGAAACAAUAGUGCAUUAAAAAGAGGACCAGCAUGCCAUCCGUGUAUGCUCGUGGCGAGGAAAAUGGCACGGCGAGAUGUUAAUGGACGAUGUCUAUUUAAACAUUGGUUGUACCAGGAGUUCGUUUCGUUCUCGACUCUAAUUUCCAUAGCGAGAAAUUAGAAUAAUUGCCUUUAAUCUUUAUUGCACCUGUAUGUGUCGUCAGAUGCAAGCGGUGGCGUUAAACACAGAGCAAGUGUCGCUGUUAAAAUAUUGUAUCAAAAGGACGGUUUUAUUUUAUAAAAUUAACAAUUUUAUUACUAAUA